rnacentral:rRNA from 1 species
UACGGAGGGGGCGAGCGUUAUUCGGAAUUAUUGGGCGUAAAGGGCGUGUAGGCGGCCUGUUAAGUCUGAAGUGAAAAUCCAGGGCUCAACCCUGGAACUGCUUCGGAUACUGAUGGGCUUGAGUGCUCUAGAGGGUAGUGGAAUUGCCGGUGGUAGCAGUGAAAUGCGUAGAGAUCGGCAGGAACACCAGUGGCGAAGGCGACUGCCUGGGGAGUAACUGACGCUGAGGCGCGAAAGCUGGGGGAGCAA